AACGCUAGCUACAGGCUUAACACAUGCAAGUCGAGGGGCAGCACUAGGUAGCAAUAUUGAGGUGGCGACCGGCGCACGGGUGCGUAACGCGUAUCCAACCUUCCCGUUACUCUUGGAUAGCCUUCCGAAAGGGAGAUUAAUACAAGAUGGUAUUCAAAUUCCGCAUGUUAUUUGAAUUAAAGAUUUAUCGGUAACGGAUGGGGAUGCGUGACAUUAGAUAGUAGGCGGGGUAACGGCCCACCUAGUCUACGAUGUCUAGGGGUUCUGAGAGGAAGGUUUUUUACACUGGAACUGAGACACGGUCCAGACUCCUAUGGGAGGCAGCAGUGAGGAAUAUUGGUCAAUGGUCGGAAGACUGAACCAGCCAAGUAGCGUGAAGGAUGAAGGUUCUAUGGAUUGUAAACUUCUUUUAUACGGGAAUAAAACCUCCCACGUGUGGGAGCUUGUAUGUACCGUAUGAAUAAGCAUCGGCUAACUCCGUGCCAGCAGCCGCGGUAAUACGGAGGAUGCGAGCGUUAUCCGGAUUUAUUGGGUUUAAAGGGAGCGUAGACGGGAUGUUAAGUCAGUUGUGAAAGGCUGCGGCUCAACCGCAGCACUGCAGUAGAUACUGGCGUCCUUGAGUGCGGUUGAGGUAUGUGGAAUUCGUGGUGUAGCGGUGAAAUGCUUAGAUAUCACGAAGAACUCCGAUUG
rnacentral:rRNA from 1 species